GCGAUAAGCCCAGAUUAGGUAGUAACAACCAUUUGAGUCUGGGAUUUCUGAAUGGGGAAACCCACUUACAUAAGUAAGUAUCAUUAACUGAAUACAUAGCAUAACGAGGCGAACCGGGGGAACUGAAACAUCUAAGUACCCCGAGGAAAAGAAAUCAACCGAGAUUCCGAAAGUAGCGGCGAGCGAAAUUGGACUAGCCCUUAAGCUUUACACGCGUUAGACGAACGGUCUGGAAAGUCCGACGAUACAGGGUGAUAGUCCCGUAGUUGACGGCGUGUGUUCAGUGAAAUCGAGUAGGGCGGGACACGUGAUAUCCUGUCUGAAUAUGGGGGGACCAUCCUCCAAGGCUAAAUACUACUGACUGACCGAUA
rnacentral:rRNA from 1 species